CCUACGGGAGGCAGCAGUGGGGAAUAUUGGGCAAUGGGCGCAAGCCUGACCCAGCAACGCCGCGUGAAGGAAGAAGGCUUUCGGGUUGUAAACUUCUUUUAUCAGGGACGAAGCAAGUGACGGUACCUGAGGAGGAAGCCACGGCUAACUACGUGCCAGCAGCCGCGGUAAUACGUAGGUGGCGAGCGUUGUCCGGAUUUACUGGGCGUAAAGGGAGCGUAGGCGGACUGCAAGUCAGAUGUGAAAAUUAUGGGCUCAACCCAUAACCUGCAUUUGAAACUGUAGUUCUUGAGUGAUGGAGAGGCAGGCGGAAUUACGUGUGUAGCGGUGAAAUGCGUAGAUAUACGGAGGAACACCAGUGGCGAAGGCGGCCUGCUGGACAUUAACUGACGCUGAGGCGCGAAAGCGUGGGGAGCAAACAGGAUUAGAUACCCUAGUAGUC
rnacentral:rRNA from 1 species